UCCGGAGGGUGCAAGCGUUAUCCGGAUUCACUGGGUUUAAAGGGUGCGUAGGCGGGUUGGUAAGUCCGUGGUGAAAUCCCCAAGCUUAACUUGGGAACUGCCGUGGAUACUAUCAAUCUUGAAUAUCGUGGAGGUAAGCGGAAUAUGUCAUGUAGCGGUGAAAUGCUUAGAUAUGACAUAGAACAGCAAUUGCGUAGGCAGCUUACUACACGAUCAUUGACGCUGAGGCACGAAAGCGUGGGGAGCAAACAGG
rnacentral:rRNA from 1 species